rnacentral:rRNA from 1 species
GGGUGCGAUCAUACCAGCACUCAUGUACCGGGUCCCAUCAAAACUCUGAAGUUAAGUGUGCUUGGGAAAGAGUCGUAUUAAGACGGGAUUUGUUACAGAACUUCCACAGACACAGCAA